AGAGACAAACAAACUCAAGUCAGGUAUGUACUUCAAAUAACCGCUGUAACUGCUUUUCUUUUAACUCAAGUCAGGUAUGUAUUUCUAAUGUAUAUUUUCUUAGUAUCAACUGGUGUUCUUUGGUUGAGCAGAAAGAUCAUUCAGCAAUUACAAAAUUUUCUUAGGGAAUUAACCUUGUUUAAGCUUUGUUUAUCAUCUCUCUCCUUUUCUCUGUUAAGUCUUGGUUCUUCUAAGUUAUGCCUUAUCCUUAUCCCCCACAUCACACAUAUUGGAAAAGAAUCUUGCCUUAAAUUGCAAAUUUGAUUUUAUUUAUUAUACUUGAUAAAUUUGAUUUUAUCGGUAUCCAAGAGCAUGCUGAUCACAACUUAUGUCUGUCUUAAGCCUUCUCAUAAACGUUUCUUCAUUUGCAGGUUUCUUUCAAGUCACUGCCCGAGGAGAGUUUACCAUUGUAUAUGGAUUUUUGUUUUUCUACAAACACAUUGCGGCAAAGAAGGGGAAGGAAAUGUUCUCCAGGUGGUGCUCUAGCAAGGAAAUGUUCUCAAUCAUAAAAUUCAUGAUUAGGUAAUCUUUCAUCAUAAAAUUCCUUUCCUUUGAGUUUCCUAACAUAACUUGCAAACGUCAUUCAUGAGUUUCCUUUGAGAUGGAUGAAAAUGUGUACAUAUGUAUGAAUAACUUGUGAGCGCUCACGUUCUAGGACAGAUGACGUUGACGAAACUCCAUGCUUGGUCUUGAACAAUACUAUGAUUUUCCUCCGGUUAGGGAAUCACAUAAUUGUUCCUUAUGCAAUGAAUAUUAAUGCUGCACACUUCAUUAAUGACUUGUUUAUUUAGAAGAAACAUUUUUUUAUUGAAAAAAAGAUAGUAAAAUACCACAGAAGUGUACAAGUACUCGUCCGCCACAGAACAGGAACAGAGCUGAUCUUAAGAGAAAUACAAAGAGCUUUAACAAAGAAAUUAUCCUUGAGCUGCCUUCCAUCCCUGAAUUGUGAUAGUAAAAUGUCAUAUUUCUUCUUCCAAUCUCUUUUUUUUUUUUUUUUUCUUGUGUUCAAUCAUUGCUUUAUAUAUAAACAUUUUAAACAUUUCCACAAGUAAAAUGAAAUUUUUUGAAGGCCUAAUUUUUGCUACUAGUUUAGUUGUAAAAGGUCUACAUUCUAUAUACAUACGUAUAAAUGAAAACAAAUAGUUUUACUUGUAAGUAGUCUUCCAUUUAUAGGGCCUUCUUUUUGACUUUGCCCUGGGCCACCAAAAUCCCAGGGCUGGCCUUGUACUUGUAACAUGGACCACUUAUCUCUUGAAGAAUUGGAAAUACAUGAUGGAUGCCAUUUCCAAUUCAAAAACUUUUCGGGCAGUUUAAGAAAGUAUUACACGACUAGAUGUUUAUAAUUCAAAUUCGAAACAAAGCACCAUUGGAUUCACAUAAAUCUACCUAAUUGCCGUGCCAUUGAUUAUUUCUAACAAGCAACUGAACCGUUGCAGAAGAUCUGAUGCUUCAUUAUAACAUUUGAUAAUUGAAUAUGCAUCUUUCAGUGUCGUCCCCUUCACCGUUUCACUUUUAAUUUUUUAGCAUAUCAAUUAGUCUCUUUCAGAUGUAUUUUCUCGUAUAUACUUGUUGUUUGGAAAUUAGUUUUCAGAAGCUACACGAGGUGGGUUAACUAGAGAAAUUAGUUUGUUCAUAUUCUAAGACAAAUCUAACGAUCCAAUUCUUAAUGUCUUGAACUUAGGAGUAUCUUGUUGAGCUGCGAUAUGAAUGAAAAUGGAAAGCAAUCGAGUUCAAAUCCUCACUGGCUUUUCAAAUCUGAUGAGGAACAAAAGUAUGAGAAAACACAUGAAGGUAAAAUUAUGUCGAUCCUUUUCUGUGCCUUCCAAUUCCGAACGAUUUGCUUGCUGCAAUUAUUCCAACUACAGUUCAUUUCAUUAUAAUUUUUUUCUUUGUUGUAUCUCUAGACUCUCUGCGUAAGAUUUCCAAUAGGAACAACCCCAAUUUGACCCAAUUUAGCAUGCAUUGUGUAUUUUGAGAUUUCAAGGUAACUGCUGCUAAUGGAAUCCCUUCUUUCACUUGUAAUUCAUAGGGAAUACCAAUUUUAAACUCUAUUUACAUUUACAACCGAAGAAAACUAAAGCGCAAUGCAUGCUCUUUUAUGGUAGAAUGACCUUAUCAUCUUCCAACGAACUCAAGAAAGAAUGAAAUCUGUAGCAGAAAACAUAGGGCUGAGAUCUCUCCAAGGUAUUGCCCCACUCUCCCACAAUCUCUGUUCCUUGUAUUUGAGAAUUCACAAGGUCCCUUGAACUCACUUCUCUUCAACAGAUACAUGUUUAUGGCUGUCUGAGUCUCCAAUUCCUGCCACAAGACUCUUUCUUUUCUGAGUAAAGGUAUGAGAAUAAUUAGAUUUAUUUUUAUGAAGCUGCAAUAAUUAGAUUUAAUUAAAGCCAGUAGAAUUAAUUUCUCCUUUGGAUUUAGGAGCAUCUUGUUGAGCUGAGGUAUGCACGGGAAGUAAAAGCACUCAAGUAAACGUCCAUAUUAAAAAGCUAUUAGAAGAAGCAGGCUUUUCAAAAUUUGAUCUGGAACAAUUGAAGGUAAGGCUUGUCUGUGUUCUUUCUCUGCGCCUUUAACUUCUGAAGGACUCUAAAAUGUUACUUGCUCAACAUGGAACAACAGCAAUAGUUCAUUAGCAUUUUCUUUUUCUGUAAAAAAGAAUCUUGCCUUGAAUUGCAAAUUAGAUUUUAUUGGUAUUAAGCUUGAUAAAUUCUGAUAAUUCUGUCACUUUGUUUCUCACCGGGCCUGGUCCUUAUCGGUAUCCAAGAGCAUGCUGAUCACAACUUAUGUCUGUCUAGUCUCAAAUGCUGAUUUAUUAGUCACUCUGCACGAUAACAUGCCUUCUCAUAAACAGUUCUCAUUUGCAGGUUUCUUUCAUGUCACAGCCCGAGGAGAGUUUACCGUUGUAUAUAGAUUUUUGUUUUUCUACAAACAAAUUGUGCAAACAAAGGGGAAGGAAAUCUUCUCCAGGUGGCGAUCUAGCAACAGACCAGCAUUUGGACAAUGUGGUGAAGACGUCAUUUAUGAUUAGGUAAUCUUUCAUCAUAAAAUUCCUUUCUGUAGGUAAUAACUUGAAAACGUCAUUUAUGAAUUUAAUUUGAGAUGGAUGAAAAUGUGUACAUACUUGUUGGUUGGAAAUUAGUUUUCAGAAGCUACAUGGGUUGGGGUUAACUAGAGAAAUUAGUUUGUUCAUAUUCUAAGAUGAAUCCAAUGAUCCAAUUCUUAAUGUCUUGAACUUGGGAGUAUCUUAUUGAGCUGAGAUAUGCAUGAAAAUGGAAAGCAAUCGAGUUGAAAUGCUCAUUGUGCAAUCGAGUUGAAAUCCUCAUUGUAUAGCUAUUAGACCUGGCUUUUCAAAAUCGGACGAGGAACAAAAACACAUGAAGGUAAAAUUCUGUUGAUCCUUUUCUGUGCCUUUCACUUCCGAACUACAGUUCCAUUUCAUUAGAAUUGUUUUCUUUGUUGUAUCUCUAGACUCUCUGCGUAAGAUUCCCAAUAGGAACUACCCCAACUUGACCCAAUUUGGCAUGCAUUGUGUAUUUUGAGAUUUCAAGGUAACUGCUGCUAAUGGAAGAAAACCAAAGCCUAUUGCAUGCUCUUUUAAGGUAGAAUGACCUUAUCAUCUUCCAACAAACUCAAGAAAUGCAUGCUCGGGUGAGUUGAAGUUGAAGAUUUCGAGAAGGAAUGAAAGCUGUAGCAGAAAACAUAGGGCUGAGAUCUCUGCUCCACUCUCUCACAAAAGAAAAGUAAGUUUUCUUUUUUAUAUUUGAAAGUUUGCACCUUUGUUUAUAUUCUUAGCACUAGAACGUUGCUUGGAACCGUCCAUCUUAAUCUUUCUGAUAAUGCUCCCAAUUUCCUAGAUUCUGAAAGAUUAGAAUUUACUAAAGGGAUACUUAACGACAGCAAUAAACUUGACAUCCUUAUUAUAUGCUUUCUAUUAGCUCUUUACCAGAGCUAUCAUUCAAGGACAGCCAGUUUGAUACUGAUUGUUGUUUCCAACAAAAGCUUUGUCUAUACACAUUAUAGCAUAUUCGUUGAAUGUUACAUACAUUCAAUGUUUCCAUACAUUUCAAGAAUUUUGCAAGCAAACGCUCAUUGAAGUUCAAUAUGAAAUCUUCUGAGGUUGUCUAAGCUAUGGGAUGAGCUGCUCAUGUUUCCAUUAUUUCCAUGUUCUGUUUUUAUAGAUUUUUAUGACCCUUCCCUUCCUUGUUACCAUGAAAUCUUCCUUGUUAUGCCUUCACUUAAGCAAAUUAGAAGACACUUUGGAGUUAGAAUUUUUUUUUCUUUGUUGUAUCUCUAGACUCUCUGCGUAAGAUUCACUUGUUAAUUCUUAGGGAAUAACAAUUUUACAUUCUAUUUAAAUUUACAACGGAAGAAAACUAAAGCGCAUUGCAUGCUCUUUUAUGGUAGAAUGACCUUAUCAUCUUCCAACAAACUCGAGAAAUGCAUGCUCUGAUGUGUUGAAGUUGAAGAUUUCGAGAAAGAAUGAAAGCUGUAGCAGAAAACAUAGGGCUCAGAUCUCUCCAAGGUAUUGCUCCACUGUCUCACAAUCUCUGUUCCUUGUAUUAUGAAGAUUACAGGAUUACUCAUUACUGACCAUCAUCACAUGAUCUUGCAGAUGAUUUUGGGGAGGUUUGCCAAUUGACCUUAGUGAAAUCAUAAAAGAAAAGUAAGUUUGCUUUUUUAUAUUUGGAAGUUGGCACCUAUGUUUAUAUUAUUUGCACUAGACCGUUGCUCGGAACCAUCCAUCUUAAUCUUUCUGAUAAUUUACAAGGUCCCUUGACGGCAGUGGAAGGGGCACAUGUUGUUUUCUGAAGGGAUACUUAACGACAGCAAUAAACUUAACAUCCUUAUUAUAUGCUUUCUAUUAGCUCUUUGAUCAGAGCUAUCUUGUCCUGCAGAUAGUUCAUUUGUGUUUGGAGGGGCGGCCUACAUCUGAUCUGACCACAUUGGAAAGCUCUCUUUGUGUUGAUGAAGAAUUCUUCUUCUCAAACAAGAUAAAACUGAUGUUAAACCAUGGGGGCCACGUCUUCGUUUGGUUUUCUUGCAAGAAACUGAUGAUAAACUGAUGUUAGUGCUCGUAUUGUUGAAGUUCAAUUUCCUCUUGUCCCACAUUGAAAGAUUAUAGCUUUGUCUGUGAUUUCUUCAAGGACAGCCAGUCUGAUACUGAUUGUUGUUUCCAACAAAAGCUUUGUCUCUACACAUUAUAGCUUAUUUGUCGAAUGUUACAUAUAUUCAAUGUUUCCAUACAUUUCAAGAAUUUUUGACAAGCAAACGGUCAUUCAUUGAAGUUCAAUAUGAAAUCUUCUGAGGUUGUCUAUGCUAUGGGAUAAGCUGCUCAUGUUAUGACCCUUCUCUUCCUUGUUCCCAUGACAAUCACAAUAUUAUGCCUCCACUUAAG
rnacentral:lncRNA from 1 species